rnacentral:rRNA from 1 species
AUACGGAGGGGGUUAGCGUUGUUCGGAAUUACUGGGCGUAAAGCGUGCGUAGGCGGACUAUUAAGUCAGAGGUGAAAUCCCGGGGCUCAACCCCGGAACUGCCUUUGAUACUGGUAGUCUUGAGGUCGAGAGAGGUGAGUGGAAUUCCUAGUGUAGAGGUGAAAUUCGUAGAUAUUAGGAGGAACACCAGUGGCGAAGGCGGCUCACUGGCUCGAUUCUGACGCUGCGGUACGAAAGUGUGGGGAGCAAACGGGAUUAGAUACCCUAGUAGUCC